GUGGGGAAUAUUGCGCAAUGGGGGAAACCCUGACGCAGCGACGCCGUGUGAGGGAAGAAGGCUUUCGGGUCGUAAACCUCUGUCAGAAAGGAAGAACCUCCCAAGUCCGAAUAGGGCUUGGGACUGACGGUACUUUCAAAGGAAGCACCGGCUAACUCCGUGCCAGCAGCCGCGGUAAUACGGAGGGUGCAAGCGUUAAUCGGAAUCACUGGGCGUAAAGCGCGCGUAGGCAGCGUUGUAAGUCGGACGUGAAAGCCCUCGGCUAAACCGGAGAACUGCGUUGGGUACUGCGAGGCUUGAGUACUGGAGGCGGUGGCGAAAGACCGGGUGUAGGAGUGAAAUCCGUAGAUAUCCGGAGGAACACCGGUGGCGAAGGCAGCCACCUGGACAGGUACUGACGCUGAGGCGCGAAAGCGUGGGGAGCAAACAGGAUUAGAUACCCCAGUAGUCC
rnacentral:rRNA from 1 species